UUUUGGGAAGACUGAGGCAAUCGUUGCUGAAGUCAGUGUUGUAAUAGUGAAUCGGGAUUUUUAAUGAAGCGGGUUUGAUUACUCUUGACUGUUUUGUGAAAUCGAGUUACGUUUGUGAUGAAGAAUUAAAAGGGUGUCUAUAGGAUUGAGUAUGCGGAGUGAAUGAAAUUUAUUGGAUUAAUCUAACGAGACAGUCAGUGGAUACAAGAUCGUGAGUAUAAAGCGGUAUCGAAGAUUAGCAGUUUGGGUUGUU
rnacentral:lncRNA from 1 species